CCUCCUCGUCCGACGGCCCGCGGUGCUCGGCAGUAUGUCAGCCGAGCUGCCCUACAAAGCGGUUUUUGCUUGGAAAGGGGACACCGAUGAGGAGUAUUUGUGGUGCAUGGAACAGACUCUGUACUUCAAGGAUGAACAUGAUUUUGGAUGAUGGAGAUCUUACCAACUCGUUCAUACCAAAUACCCACAGCUCUUGAAAGCUGGAUGAAGCUGUGGCUGCUGCUCAUCUGGAUAAACUGUGCGUGAAGCUGACAAAGCAGCAGGGGUAGUUAGAGGGCCUACAUCAUCGCACGGUCCUCAGGUGGCACACAUGAGCUCAAUGCCCAAGUGUGAGGUGCAAGGUGUGCUCUGGCAGCACAACCCAAAUAACAUCCCAUCGCUGCUCUGCUGGAGGUGCUCGUCCAAAGCCUCAGUGUUUACUGACUGAAACCAACUUGUUCCAAGGCAGAGCACCAGGAACAGCUCCUCGUGGCUGUACGCGGCAAGGCAGAACCCCUGGUUUUCUGUCGGUGCUCAGAUAACCAGCUGGAACACUUCUGAUUUAUGUCUAUGCCAUGCAGAUUUCAUCUUGUAAUACACAUUUGUACAUUAAACAGUUGCAAAGCUAAUUCUCCAGAUACCAUUUUUUUUAAUCCCUAAUGACAAGAUUUGAGUCAAGUGCUCUAGAAAUGAUGAUGUGUACACAUAGAAGUAUCACAACUUACACAAUAGUAUGUUUAAAUUUAAAGAUAGACUUUACAUACCCAAAUAGAAAAAAAGGUAGGAAAAUAUAUUUAUUUGUAUAGAAACAAAAAUAAAAAAUAAAACUCAGAUAAUAAAAUUUGCUUGAAUACAUAGCAAACAUUUCUGCCCCAACAGUGAGAUGAUAACACUUCCAGACAGAGUCUGAACAGUGGAGGAGAAAGUACAGAUUUAAUACUACACAUCCUCUCUGUCUCCCCUAUUGUGUGGGUCUUCACCUACUAAAUGAGCAUCAGUACCUGAGAGGAAUGACCUGGUGGUAAUGCUU